rnacentral:rRNA from 1 species
GAUGAACGCUGACAGAAUGCUUAACACAUGCAAGUCUACUUGAACUUCGGUUUGGGUGGCGGACGGGUGAGUAACGCGUAAAGAACUUGCCUCACAGAUAGGGACAACAUUUGGAAACGAAUGCUAAUACCUGAUAUUAUGAUUUUAGGGCAUCCUAGAAUUAUGAAAGCUAUAUGCACUGUGAGAGAGCUUUGCGUCCCAUUAGCUAGUUGGAGAGGUAACGGCUCACCAAGGCGAUGAUGGGUAGCCGGCCUGAGAGGGUGAUCGGCCACAAGGGGACUGAGACACGGCCCUUACUCCUACGGGAGGCAGCAGUGGGGAAUAUUGGACAAUGGACCAAGAGUCUGAUCCAGCAAUUCUGUGUGCACGAUGAAGUUUUUCGGAAUGUAAAGUGCUUUCAGUUGGGAAGAAAAAAAUGACGGUACCAACAGAAGAAGUGACGGCUAAAUACGUGCCAGCAGCCGCGGUAAUACGUAUGUCACAAGCGUUAUCCGGAUUUAUUGGGCGUAAAGCGCGUCUAGGUGGUUAUGUAAGUCUGAUGUGAAAAUGCAGGGCUCAACUCUGUAUUGCGUUGGAAACUGUGUAACUAGAGUACUGGAGAGGUAAGCGGAACUACAAGUGUAGAGGUGAAAUUCGUAGAUAUUUGUAGGAAUGCCGAUGGGGAAGCCAGCUUACUGGACAGAUACUGACGCUGAAGCGCGAAAGCGUGGGUAGCAAACAGG